rnacentral:rRNA from 1 species
GAUGAACGCUGGCGGCGUGCCUAAUACAUGCAAGUCGAACGCACAGCGAAAGGUGCUUGCACCUUUCAAGUGAGUGGCGAACGGGUGAGUAACACGUGGAUAACCUACCUCAAGGUUGGGGAUAACAUUUGGAAACAGAUGCUAAUACCGAAUAAAACUUCGUAUCGCAUGAUACAAGGUUAAAAGGCGCUACGGCGUCACCUAGAGAUGGAUCCGCGGUGCAUUAGUUAGUUGGUGGGUAAAGGCUACAGACAAUGAUGCAUAGCCGAGUUGAGAGACUGAUCGGCCACAUUGGGACUGAGACACGGCCCAAACUCCUACGGGAGCUGCAGUAGGGAAUCGUUCCACAAUGGGCGAAAGCCUGAUGGAGCAACGCCGACGUGUGU